rnacentral:rRNA from 1 species
GAUGAACGCUGGCGGCGUGCCUAAUACAUGCAAGUCGAGCGAACAGAUGAGGAGCUUGCUCCUCUGACGUUAGCGGCGGACGGGUGAGUAACACGUGGAUAACCUACCUAUAAGACUGGGAUAACUUCGGGAAACCGGAGCUAAUACCGGAUAAUAUAUUGAACCGCAUGGUUCAAUAGUGAAAGACGGUUUUGCUGUCACUUAUAGAUGGAUCCGCGCCGCAUUAGCUAGUUGGUAAGGUAACGGCUUACCAAGGCAACGAUGCGUAGCCGACCUGAGAGGGUGAUCGGCCACACUGGAACUGAGACACGGUCCAGACUCCUACGGGAGGAAGCAGUAGGGAAUCUUCCGCAAUGGGCGAAAGCCUGACGGAGCAACGCCGCGUGAGUGAUGAAGGUCUUCGGAUCGUAAAACUCUGUUAUUAGGGAAGAACAAAUGUGUAAGUAACUAUGCACGUCUUGACGGUAACUAAUCAGAAAGCCACGGCUAACUACGUG